AUUAGAAACAAGUGAUAAAAUUUUCCUCAUAAAAUUGUGAGGAAAGUUUGAGGAAAAUUCCCAACCUCCUUCAAUCUCACAUCACUUAGAUGACAUCAAUAUGAUUUAAGUAGCUCAUCAACAUUUAAAUUUUUCAUCAAAAUUCUUAUAUUUUUUCCUCAAUCCAAAUAAGAGAAAAAAACUCACUUUCUCUCUACUUUUUUUCUUCAUAUUUUUUUCCUUCAACUUUUCUUUCCAUCAAAUUUUCUAAGGACCAAACAAAGCCUUAAUGAAGUAAACUUAAUUGGCACUACACUAUAUUAGUAACCCGUACUACAGAAAAUGAGCCAGAAAAACAUUUUCCACUGUAGAGGAGGUAUGCAUUGUAUAUAUUAACAAAUAAAUAAACAUUUUCUAUAUAUUGAAUAAGCAUGCUGAUGUGAACUGACUUAUCUCGGUAGGUGCGCAAGCCAAGGAGCACUUAAAAGUUUUAUAGGGAAAAGCGAUCCAAAUCACCUUUAGCUCGCUCAGAGGAAAAGCUUGGCUUUGACUUGCUAAGGCAAGCUACCAAUUAGAUUGACAUAGCCUUUUCACUGAAAAUGAGGGUCUUGGGUUGAUCAAGUCAUUUGCUAUUAUGGCAAAAACACAAUUUGGAGCAACUGCGAAACUUAUUCGAUUUGAUAAUGCUAUUGAGAUGAGUACUACAAAUGCAACUUUUGAGGUUUUUACCUCUUUAAGGGACUAUAUAUCAAAUUAGUUGUGUCCAAAUCCCUCAAUAGAAUGGGGAUGCUAAAAGAAAACAUAAACACCCUACUUGAGGCUUGCAAGGUUAUUGGCACUACAAGCGCAUGGUCACCGAGUGUAAAUCAAGUGUUGUUCAUGUGAGAUUAAUGUGAUGAAAUGACUCACGCAACCACAGGAGCCUUGCCUGUACAGCUGCUCAAGAGUGUGCAACAACUCACCUGCCGAAUCAAUUAGCCUCAAAAAUGAAUGGCGCNNNNNNNNNNNNNNNNNNNNNNNNNNNUAGGGNNNGUGCUAAGCUCCGAUAAGUAGGAGGGCGUGGCGGUCGCUGCAAAACUUGUGGCGCAAGUUAGGGCGGAGUGGCCUUCGAUGCAGAUUUUGGUGGUAGGAGCAAAUAUUCAAACGAGAACAUUGAAAGUCGAAGAGGUGAAAGGUUACAUGUAACGGCACUUGCACAUAGAUUAGUCAAUCCUAAGAGACGAGGGAAGCCCAUCCGAAAGCCGUUUCGUGCCAGCUUCGAAAGGGAAUCGAGUUAAAGUUCCUAAACUGGGGCGUGGUAAUUGACGACAACAUUAGGGAGUCCAGAGACAUCAACGAGGGCUUCGGGAAGAGUUAUCUUUUCUGUUUAAUAGCCUGCCCACCUUGGAAAUGACUCAAUUUGAUGUAGGGUCUAGCGGCUGGAAGAGCACCACACGUCGAGUGGUGUCCGGUACGCCUCCGGCGAUCCUUGAAAAUCCAGAGGACCGAGUACAGACCAUGCCCGGUCGUACUCAUAAUCGCAUCAGGUCUCCAAGGUAAAUAGCCUCUGGUCGAUGGAACAAUUUAGGUAAGGAAAAUCGACAAAAUGGAUCCGUAACUUCGGGAAAAAGAUUGGCUCUGAGGGUUGGGCGCGGGGGUCCUAGUCUGGAACCCAUCGGCUAUCGGCGGGCUGCUCGAGUUGCUCGCACGGGUUGUCGCGUCCCAGUCGGGGGACGGGCAAUGGCCCCUUUGGGGGCCUUCCCCGGGCUUCGAAUAGUUAACUCAGAACUGGUACAGACAAUGGAAAUCUGACUGUUUAACUAAAACAAAGCAUUGCGAUGGUCCCCGCGGAUGUUAACGCAAUGUGAUUUUUGCCCAGUGCUCUGGAUGCCAAAGUGAUAGGACUCUCUUAAGGUGGCCAAAUACCUCGUUAUCUAAUUAGUGUCGCGCAUUAAUGGAUUAACAAGAUUCCUACUAUCCCUGUCUACUAUCCAGC
rnacentral:rRNA from 1 species